UGAGGGAUUUUCGGCAAUGGGCGAAAGCCUGACCGAGCGACGCCGCGUGAGCGAAGAAGGCCUUCGGGUCGUAAAGCUCUGUCUAGGGGGACGAGCAAGGACGGUACCCCUGGAGGAAGCCACGGCUAACUACGUGCCAGCAGCCGCGGUAAUACGUAGGUGGCGAGCGUUGUCCGGAAUUACUGGGCGUAAAGGGCGCGCAGGCGGUACGUUAAGUCCAAGGUGAAAUCCCACGGCUCAACUGUGGGGGGACCCUGGAUACUGGCGUGCUGGAGUGCGGGAGAGGGAAGCGGAAUUCCACGUGUAACGGUGAAAUGUAUAGAUAUGUGGAGGAACACCGGUGGCGAAGGCGGCUUCCUGGACCGUAACUGACGCUGAGGCGCGAAAGCUGGGGGAGCGAACAG
rnacentral:rRNA from 1 species